GCACAAGCGGUGGAGCAUGUGGUUUAAUUCGACGCAACGCGCAGAACCUUACCAGCCCUUGACAUGUCCGGGACCGGUCGCAGAGACGUGACCUUCUCUUCGGAGCCCGGAACACAGGUGCUGCAUGGCUGUCGUCAGCUCGUGUCGUGAGAUGUUGGGUUAAGUCCCGCAACGAGCGCAACCCCCGUCCUUAGUUGCUACCAUUUAGUUGAGCACUCUAAGGAGACUGCCGGUGAUAAGCCGCGAGGAAGGUGGGGAUGACGUCAAGUCCUCAUGGCCCUUACGGGCUGGGCUACACACGUGCUACAAUGGCGGUGACAAUGGGAUGCUAAGGGGCGACCCUUCGCAAAUCUCAAAAAGCCGUCUCAGUUCGGAUUGGGCUCUGCAACUCGAGCCCAUGAAGUUGGAAUCGCUAGUAAUCGUGGAUCAGCACGCCACGGUGAAUACGUUCCCGGGC
rnacentral:rRNA from 1 species